AACAACUAGCGAAUGUAUAGGUAGCACAUUUUUAGGUGGUAAAUCACUAUAUAGUGAACUCUGUCAAAAUGCAAAAAAAGUAAAUUGAGACGAAUUUAAGGACCCAUUCAUACGGACUAUUGGAAUAAUCACAUUAAUUUUGGUCACUUGACUUAAAAGAUAAUGCGACUAGAAUUAAAGAGAAAAAUCGAAUACGCGAAAACUUUUUGAUUUGUCUCUUUAAUUUGCUUAGAUGUCAAAUACUGU